UUCCCGAUUUCCUCUUUAUUUUUCCAUCUUUUCUGAUUAUCAGUGCUGAGUUUUAAAUUGAAGAAUGCUCUUUUCUGUGUUUUGAGUCUUCCAUGGAAGAUUUAGCUUACUUUCACCUAAAUUUUUUGGCUAAUUGGUGGUAAAUCUCUACACCUCUGUUGUGUGUGUUCAGCUGCUUCGCUGUUUUCAUGGUUUAUUCUUUAUUUUAAACUGUUUUAAGCUUUUCAAAGUGUAGUAAGAAUGGAACUGCUAUCAAACUUGCCUUGGAGGUGUUUGACAAAUUGCCUGAAAGAACAAACUUUUCGCUGUGUUAGGACCCUCUUAAAUCCAGAUUGUUUAACCAAAAAUAGCUUUGAUGAUGAAACUGAUAAAGGAUGGAGUGUGGCUGUACAUCUAAAGCCAAGAGAUUUGUUUGACAUGGGAGAGGUUGAUGAAGAGGAAAUAUACGAGAAUGAACCAUAUCGACAACAAGAAUUUGGACAAUUUUUUGAUGUUGAUUACGAGAAUAUCCAAAUUGCAAUAGAGGAGAAUAUGACUGAAUAGAUAUAUCAUUACUUUUUUAGUUCCCUUAGUCACCUUUUUUUCCCGCUUGAUUAGGAAGGUUUCAUUAGUGUUUUUUCUAGAACUUACUAUCUUUUGGUUAAGAAAGUUAUCUUUAUUCUUUAUGGAAUUUUAGAGAUAAAUUUAAAGCUGGAUAUGUGGGCAAUGGGUGGAUAACACAGAGUGGUAGCUACAAAAUUCAUAGUGGCUAUCAAUGGAGGAAAGGAGACCAAGAAUCAUGGUAUUGGGAGAGGUGGUGUGGAAUAAACUCAAUAUACCAAAAUAGAGUUUCAUUUGUUGGAUAGUACGUAGGAUAUGACAGGAUCCUUACAAGAUCAAGACUACAAAAAAUAGGGGUGUGCCAUGAUAACAAGUGUGUCAUAUGUGAGGAGCAGGAGGAAAAAACUGAACACCUCUUCUUUCAGUGUCAUUUCUCACAGGAAUGUUUAAGGAAAGAGUGUCGUAUAAAUUUGGACCGAGGGAGUAGUAUUUAUAUGAAACUGAUUGUAGCUAGUGUGAGAUGAAAAAGAGGUUUAGUUACUUUUGAAUGUGAUUGAUGCUUAAUUCUCUACUAUGUAUUAUUUUCUACUAUAUGAAAAAGAAGCUUGAAGAAAAAGGACAAUACUUCUAAUUUGUGGCAGUAAUGUAGCCACCUUAAAAUCUUAAAUGCAAAAAAUUAAAACCACAGAGAUAGUGCCCCUAUAAUUAGUGUGAUGUAGUUCAACAUCAUUUUCAUGCAUUAACUAAUGCUAGUAAUUUUGGAUGCCAUGUUACGUGACAGCUAACUACUUUUGGAUGCUCAAUUGAAAAUGAUGUAUGUGAUCAUAAAUGUUGUUUUAAGAUCCAUAUAUGACUUCCUUCCUUUAUUUUCACAUGGUUCAUUACAAAUUUUGUUGUACGAAAUUAGAUCACGAAUCCUUGCCCUAAAUCAUAUUGGGAACUCUUUUUUAUCUUUCCAAAUAUUAAUGCUGGUGAUGUAUUCUAGUACUAGUUAUGUGAAUUCGUUUUUACACUUUGUUGCUGUAUUUUGUAUACUUUUGGUUAGGGGUGGGCGUUCGGUUCUUCGGUUCGGUUUUUCAAAUUUCGGUUCGGUUUUUUCGGUUUCGGUUUUUUGAAAGUGGACACCGAACACCGCACCGAAUUAAUUCGGUUCGGUUCGGUUUUUUGAAAUUCGUUUCUGUUCGGUUUCGGUUUUUCUAAUUCGGGUUUCUACUUGUAAAAUGGCUACUUCAUGCACAAGAAAGCUAGAGGAGAACUGAACAUGCACAUACUUCAUUAUCCCAUAAUGAUAAGCAGCACAAUGGCGUCUGCUUUUUGCAGCCAUGGGUAGGCAAAUCUCAGCCUCCUUCUGUGUGGAGCGACAUGGUUAGCAGCCAAGUGAUGCGGCGAGUGGAUCCCUUUCUCCCAUGGAUGUAAGAAGAUCAUGCGGUGAUAGUAAUCCUAGUGACAACCGUUGAUUUCAUUGUAUUGUUUGGUAGGAAUGGAUGUUAAAAUGCUGGAGUGAAUCCAUUGUGUUUAAAUUUAGUUUUUGAGCGAUCUGAUAAUGCUACUUAAAUUUUUAAUUUCAAAAGCUAAUGUUACUUUAUGAUAACAUUUGUGAUUUUACGAUA